rnacentral:rRNA from 1 species
CCUACGGGUGGCAGCAGUGAGGAAUAUUGGUCAAUGGGCGUAAGCCUGAACCAGCCAAGUCGCGUGAGGGAUGAAGGUUCUAUGGAUCGUAAACCUCUUUUACAAGGGAAUAAAGUGCGGGACGUGUCCCGCUUUGUAUGUACCUUAUGAAUAAGGAUCGGCUAACUCCGUGCCAGCAGCCGCGGUAAUACGGAGGAUCCGAGCGUUAUCCGGAUUUAGUGGGUUUAAAGGGUGCGUAGGCGGCCUUUUAAGUCAGCGGUGAAAGUCUGUGGCUCAACCAUAGAAUUGGCGUUGAAACUGGGAGGCUUGAGUAUGUUGGGGGCAAGCGGAAUGCGUGGUG